GCCUCGGUAGCUCAAUUGGUAGAGCGUUGGCACAAUAAGCCAAAGGUCCGAGGUUCGAGUCCUGGUCGAGGCA
rnacentral:tRNA from 1 species